rnacentral:rRNA from 1 species
UUUGAUCAUGGCUCAGAUCGAACGCUGGCGGCAUGCUUAACACAUGCAAGUCGAGCGGCGAGAUGUAGCUUGCUACAUUUCCUAGCCGCGGACGGGUGAGUAAUGCUUAGGAAUCUGCCUAUUAUUGGGGGACAACAUUCCGAAAGGAAUGCUUAUACCGCAUAGUCCCUACGGGGGAAAGCGGGGGAUCUUCCUACCUUGCGCUAAUAGAUGACCCUAAAUCAGAUUAUCUAGGUGGUGGCGUAAAGGCCUACCAACGAUACGAUCUGUAUCGGAUCUGACAAGAUGAUCCGCCGCACUGGAACUGAGACACAGACCACACUCCUACGGGAGGCAGCAGUGGGGAGUAUUGUACAAUGGGCGAAGGCCUGAUCCCGCCAUGCCGCGUGUGUGAAGAAGGCCUUUUGGUUGUAAAGCACUUUAAGCGAGGAGGAGGCUACUUGGAUUAAUACUCUAUGAUAGUGGACGUUACUCGCAGAAUAAGCACCGGCUAACUCUGUGCCAGCAGCCGCGGUAAUACAGAGGGUGCGAGCGUUAAUCGGAUUUACUGGGCGUAAAGCGUGCGUACGCGGCUUUUUAAGUCGGAUGUGAAAUCCCUGAGCUUAACUUACGAAUUGCAUUCGAUACUGGGAAGCUAGAGUAUGGGAGAGGAUGGUAGAAUUCCAGGUGUAGCGGUGAAAUGCGUAGAGAUCUGGAGGAAUACCGAUGGCGAAGGCAGCCAUCUGGCCUAAUACUGACGCUGAGGUGCGAAAGCAUGGGGAGCAAACAGGGUUAGAUACCCUGGUAGUCCAUGCCGUAAACGAUGUCUACUAGCUGUUGGGGCCUUUGAGGCUUUAGUGGCGCAGCUAACGCGAUAAGUAGACCGCCUGGGGAGUACGGUCGCAAGACUAAAACUCAAAUGAAUUGACGGGGGCCCGCACAAGCGGUGGAGCAUGUGGUUUAAUUCGAUGCAACGCGAAGAACCUUACCUGGUCUUGACAUAGUAAGAACUUUCCAGAGAUGGAUUGGUGCCUUCGGGAACUUACUAUACAGGUGGUGCAUGGCUGUCGUCAGCUCGUGUCGUGAGAUGUUGGGUUAAGUCCCGCAACGAGCGCAACCCUUUUCGUUAUUUGCCAGCGGGUUAAGCCGGGAACUUUAAGGAUACUGCCAGUGACAAAGGUGGAGGAAGGCGGGGACGACGUCAAGUCAUCAUGGCCAUUUCGAGCAGGGCUACACACGUGCUUCAAUGGUUGGUGCAAAGGGUUGUUACCUAGGGAUAGGAUGAUAAUCUCAAAAAGCUGAUGGUAGUCCGGAUUGGAGUAUGCAAGUCGACUCCAUGAAGUAGGAAUUGGUAGUAAUGGAGGAUCAGAAUGCCGCGGUGAAUAUUGUUCCGGCGCUUUGUACACACCGCCUGUCACCCCAUGAGAAUUUGUCGCACCAGAAGUAGGUAGUAUAACGGCAAGGAGGACGCUUACCACGGUGUGGCCGGUGACUGGGGUGAAGUCGUAACAAGGUA